ACGCACGCUGGCGGCGUGCUUCACCCCUGCCAGUCGCACGGAAAGGCCCUGCUUGCAGGGUACUCGAGUGGCGAACGGGUGAGUAACACGUGGGUGAUCUGCCCUGCACUUCGGGAUAAGCCUGGGAAACUGGGUCUAAUACCGGAUAGGAGCCAUUUUUAGUGUGAUGGUUGGAAAGUUUUUUCGGUGUAGGAUGAGCUCGCGGCCUAUCAGCUUGUUGGUGGGGUAAUGGCCUACCAAGGCGGCGACGGGUAGCCGGCCUGAGAGGGUGGACGGCCACAGUGGGACUGAGAUACGGCCCAGACUCCUACGGGAGGCAGCAGUGGGGAAUAUUGCACAAUGGGCGCAAGCCUGAUGCAGCGACGCCGCGGGGGGGAUGACGGCCUUCGGGUUGGAAACUCCUUUCGCUAGGGACGAAGCUUUUUGUGACGGUACCUAGAGAAGAAGCACCGGCUAACUACGUG
rnacentral:rRNA from 1 species